AUCCAGCUGACGAGUCGCAAAUGGGAGGAAACUUUCGUCCUGGAC
rnacentral:hammerhead_ribozyme from 1 species